UACGGAGGGGGCUAGCGUUGUUCGGAAUUACUGGGCGUAAAGCGCACGUAGGCGGUCUUUUAAGUCGGGGGUGAAAUCCUGGAGCUCAACUCCAGAACUGCCUUCGAUACUGGAAGACUUGAGUCCGGGAGAGGUGAGUGGAACUGCGAGUGUAGAGGUGAAAUUCGUAGAUAUUCGCAAGAACCCCAGUGGCGAAGGCGGCUCACUGGCCCGCUACUGACGCUGAGGCACGAAAGCGUGGGGAGCAAACAGG
rnacentral:rRNA from 1 species